AUGGGGAAGGAGGGUGGCUGGGUGUGCGUGCAUGUGUGUGUGUGUUUGUGUCUCUGAGUAAUGUGUGCGUGAGUUCUGUGAUUUAGCCAUUCAUGCACUCAUUCUGCAAAUAUUUACUGGUUGCCUAUCGUGUGCCAUGGGGGAUUCCACGAUGAAUAAAAGGUCCCCACCCUCAGAGGAGCUCAUUAAGCCAGAAUAUGUCUCUGUGGCAUGUGUCUGCACCUCAAGGCAUGUGUCAGCUGGAGGAUGUGGCUGCCUCUGUGUGUGCAUGUGUGUGUGUGAACAUGUGUGUCUGAGCAUGUGUGUGGAGGGGAGAGAAUUACUCAUCCGCUCAAACGACUCUCCAAGAAAGGCCUCUCCUAGAACAGUUAUACUUUCAUAAAUACAAAUAAUCAGAUAAUGAGUUCAUUUCCGAUCUCCAGCUGGAUGCCAACAUUCCAGUGAAAUAAGACCCGCUGGCGGGCGCGCUGGCUGCUCUCAGUGUGGCUUGGAGUAGCUGAGGAAAGCUCAGGGGAGGGGUAAAGCCGAGGAGCCUCUGCAUGGCCCUGGGGCCGAGGAGCCCCUCAACCUCCCUAGAGAGCAGCAGAUGCCCCUACAGAGUGAAUCCAGGUCUGCACACCCUCUCCUCAUUCCUCUGGACCCAACCCGGGGCAGAGCCUGUGCAGUAUUGCCAAUGCAGAUUGGCCCACUGAAGCAGUGGCCUCUCUAAGGGCCCAGCAAAUGCUGCUUCCCCAGGCCAGAGCCCUGGGUGUCUCCUGGGAGAGCAGAGAUCAGAGACAGAUAGAGAUUGUGGUUGGAGCCUUGCGAGGAGGCAGAGACCCAGACCACAGCCCCUGCCCUGGGCUGUGCAUCCUGGGAGUCACGUAGCCACCCCAGCCUGGAGUGCUCAGCCUCAUUCAACAACUGCUGUGAUCCAACCCAGUCCCCACUCAUCUACUUCCCCUGUCUGGCUUAGGCUGUUCCCUAUGCUUGGAAUGCUCCCCACAUCCCCCAUCCCACCGCAAGCCUGCACAUGCAAAGUUUCUGCGUUAUUGAAGAUGCAAUGUCACACCCGUGGUCAAGGCUUCCCUCAUGCUGCCUGCAGAGAAAACUUUCCCACCCUCAGCGAGGACGCGAGGAUGCGAGGACAGCCUCUUAUCUGUCUCCUGUAUUUCCUCCUGGACUCUGAGUUCCAAGAGGUCAGAAUCCGGGCUUCCUGCAGCUGAUUUCCCUGUGCAAGUCCUGGCCAGCCUGGAGAUAGGAGUGUUCCUGGAAGCUGGCCAGAGAGGUCAUAAGCAGGGAGCAGGAUUGGAAAUGGAGAAGCCUGGAUAUGAGCUGGUGCCCACAGGGCAUUGCUGGUGCUGCAGGCAAAGGGGAAGAGGAAAGAGAAGAGGAGAAGCCAC